UUUCAAGCUUAGAAUGCAAGCCCACCCCCAGUUAAGGGGGUAAGGGAUAGUGGUGGGUGGCGGUCUCUCUCUCUUUCCACGUGUAUCGGAGGAGCAGACAGCCAUCUCGUGAGAUUGUAAUAAAGUCCUUCACGGGGCCAGCUAGGUGGCGCAGUGGCUAGAGCACCGGCCCUGGAGUCAGGAGGACCUGAAUUCAAAACCGGCCUCAGACACAUAACACUUACUAGCUGUGUACCCUGGGCAGCCCUCCUUCGUACCCGCCUCUCCCGAUUCUCGGUUCGAUGUCA
rnacentral:lncRNA from 1 species